CAUAGACCAGGAAAGGAAAGAUGCAGGCGCCACGCCACGCGACGCAAACUCGAUUCAAGGAGCAGGCAGCCAGGCACGCAACGCUGCCGCCUUUCUCUCUCUCUCUCUCUCUCUCUCUAGUCUUGCCCUUUGGUUGCUUCUUGUCCCCUUCCCGUCAUAUACCGCGGCCUCGCGCUGUUUCGUUUAACCCGCAGGCAGGCAAAUCCGAGGCGGCUCCCUCCAAUCCUCCCAGUCCACACGCGCAGGCGCAGCCAAGGGCGCGACCCAUCCCCCCGUCGCUUCCCCCUUCCCCCCCAACCCUAGCCUCGGCGGCUGCAUAGAUCUAUCCCCCGCCGCCUCCGCCGCCGCCGCCAGGCUCGCCGAUCCCUAGCUUCCCCCUCUUCGCCGAUCGGUGCCGCGUCGCGCGGGCCGCGGUAGGGGAGGAGGAUCCCGCGGCCCCCCUGUUCGAGACGGGGGCCAUGGAGGUGGACGGAGCCGCGGAGGCGGCCGCGGGCGCAGCGAAGCCGCUGACGCCCGGAGAGGGGG
rnacentral:lncRNA from 1 species